CCUACGGGUGGCAGCAGUCGAGAAUCAUUCACAAUGGGGGAAACCCUGAUGGUGCGACGCCGCGUGAGCGAUGAAGUAUUUCGGUAUGUAAAGCUCUAUCAGCAGGGAAGAAAAUGACGGUACCUGACUAAGAAGCCCCGGCUAACUACGUGCCAGCCGCCGCGGUAAUACGUAGGGGGCCAGCGUUAUCCGGAUUUACUGGGUGUAAAGGGAGCGUAGACGGCGGUGCAAGCCAGAUGUGAAAGCCCGGGGCUCAACCCCGGGACUGCAUUUGGAACUGUGCUGCUAGAGUGUCGGAGAGGCAGGCGGAAUUCCUGGUGUAGCGGUGAAAUGCGUAGAUAUUAGGAGGAACACCAGUGGCGAAGGCGGCCUGCUGGACGAUGACUGACGUUGAGGCUCGAAAGCGUGGGGAGCAAACAGGAUUAGAUACCCGGGUAGUC
rnacentral:rRNA from 1 species